rnacentral:rRNA from 1 species
UCUGACACAGGCGCUGCAUGGCUGUCGUCAGCUCGUGUCGUGAGAUGUUGGGUUAAGUCCCGUAACGAGCGCAACCCUUGUCCUUAGUUACCAGCACGUUAUGGUGGGCACUCUAAGGAGACUGCCGGUGACAAACCGGAGGAAGGAGGGGAUGACGUCAAGUCAUCAUGGCCCUUACGGCCUGGGCUACACACGUGCUACAAUGGUCGGUACAAAGGGUUGCCAAGCCGCGAGGUGGAGCUAAUCCCAUAAAACCGAUCGUAGUCCGGAUCGCAGUCUGCAACUCGACUGCGUGAAGUCGGAAUCGCUAGUAAUCGUGAAUCAGAAUGUCACGGUGAAUACGUUCCCGGGCCUU